rnacentral:rRNA from 1 species
UACAGAGACCUCAAGCAUUGUCCGGAUUUAUUGGGCGUAAAGGGUCCGCAGGUGGUUCGGUGCGUCACUGGUUAAAUGCGUGGGCUCAACCCACACACCGCCAGUGAUACGACCAAACUUGAGACUGGGAGAGGCAAGCGGAAUUACCGGUGUAGUAGUAAAAUGCGUUAAUAUCGGUAAGAACACCAAAUGCGAAGGCAGCUUGCUGGAACAGUUCUGACACUCAGGGACGAAAGCGUGGGUAGCGAAAGGG